rnacentral:rRNA from 1 species
AUUGAACGCUGGCGGCAGGCCUAACACAUGCAAGUCGAGCGAGCGGCGGACGGGUGAGUAAUGUAUGGGAACCUGCCCAAUGGAGGGGGAUAACUACUGGAAACGGUAGCUAAUACCGCAUACCAUCAGAUGUGCCGAGAUGGGAUUAGCUAGUAGGUGGGGUAACGGCUCACCUAGGCGACGAUCCCUAGCUGGUCUGAGAGGAUGACCAGCCACACUGGAACUGAGACACGGUCCAGACUCCUACGGGAGGCAGCAGUGGGGAAUAUUGCACAAUGGGCGCAAGCCUGAUACAGCCAUGCCGCUUGUAUGAAGAAGGCCUUCGGGUUGUAAAGUACUUUCAGCGGGGAGGCGUUACCCGCAGAAGAAGCACCGGCUAACUCCGUGCCAGCCGCCGCGGUAAUAC